rnacentral:lncRNA from 1 species
ACUCUGGCCGCGGCGAUUCAAUAUAUCCGGAAGCAACUGUCAUGGCUGCUGUCAGUGAGGGCCCGUAAUGGAGAUCGAGUCAAGGGUUGCCCAGGGACACUUAAGAGCCUUCGGCUUCAAGGAGGCCUCUCAAAGGACAAAGGAUGAGACUGCCUGGCGGCAGAGUGCCCCCCACAAUCGUAGGAACUGUGUCGCCGCGCUUCCCGUUAACUUGCCGCUAAGUUUUUCUAGAAAAGUCGCCCUUCUUGCCAGGGGUGUCCUAUAGACUUUGUCAUGGAGUGAAACAGAAACAAAUAUGAGGAAAUCAAGAAACAGAAAUUUCACUUGUCCACGUCUCACGGCAAGUUAGCGGAAAGGCUGAGGAAUUUAUGUACAAAAGCGACUUAAACUGGCUGCAUGCAACGGCAACUCUCGAACAAAGAGGGCUGUUCUGCCCAACAAAAAUUCAGUGUAUAUAUCUUUUAAAAUACAAGAUCAAAUUCAUGACCCACCUGGAAGCCAGAACGCCCCUUUCCACCUUCCCUGGCCCAACUACCAUCUCCCUACUCAUUCAGGUUGCAGGUUCUUUUGAUACAUCCCAGAGAAGGAGCCAAGAAGUUAAUUAACCUUGAGCAAAUGAGCAAACUCGCCUUUUCUGGCCCGGAAGAUAGUGAGUAAAGAACCUGACUAGACCUUCUAGAGAGCCGAGAUUCAGAACAACUGGCGCGACACACAGAAGGAGAAGGCAGGCCGGGCCUCGG